UACGUAGGGAGCAAGCGUUGUCCGGAAUCAUUGGGCGUAAAGCGCGCGUAGGCGGCCCCGUAAGUCCGCUGUGAAAGUCAAAGGCUCAACCUUUGAAAGCCGGUGGAUACUGGGGGGCUAGAGUCCGGAAGAGGCGAGUGGAAUUCCUGGUGUAGCGGUGGAGUGCGCAGAUAUCAGGAGGAACACCAAUAGCGAAGGCAGCUCGCUGGGACGGUACUGACGCUAAGGCGCGAAAGCGUGGGGAGCGAACAGG
rnacentral:rRNA from 1 species